AUUGAACGCUGGCGGCAGGCCUAACACAUGCAAGUCGAACGGUAGCACAGAGAGCUUGCUCUCGGGUGACGAGUGGCGGACGGGUGAGUAACGUCUGGGAAACUGCCCGAUGGAGGGGGAUAACUACUGGAAACGGUAGCUAAUACCGCAUAACGUCGCAAGACCAAAGUGGGGGACCUUCGGGCCUCACACCAUCGGAUGUGCCCAGAUGGGAUUAGCUAGUAGGUGGGGUAAUGGCUCACCUAGGCGACGAUCCCUAGCUGGUCUGAGAGGAUGACCAGCCACACUGGAACUGAGACACGGUCCAGACUCCUACGGGAGGCAGCAGUGGGGAAUAUUGCACAAUGGGCGCAAGCCUGAUGCAGCCAUGCCGCGUGUAUGAAGAAGGCCUUCGGGUUGUAAAGUACUUUCAGCGGGGAGGAAGGCGGUGAAGUUAAUAACUUCACCGAUUGACGUUACCCGCAGAAGAAGCACCGGCUAACUCCGUGCCAGCAGCCGCCGUAA
rnacentral:rRNA from 1 species